GUCAAAAUAAUACAGGAGGAGCUUCAACCAGUGCUGAUACUAGCUUAGGUAUGAGGAGAGGUGGCGGUUCUCUUAUAACAGUGGUUUUUCAAGUAGUGGUUUCUACAAAGGACCUGAACAUGGAAUCUGUAGCCACUGUCAAAAAUCUUAUCAGCUCAACGAUUCAGAGGAUUAAAGAUGUUCUUAAUUGCUCUAAUAUUGAGUAGAAUAAUGUAUUAAAUGUUUGUUGUUGUGAACAUCAGAACUUCAAUUGUAAUGUCGAUUGCUUAAAAUCAUAGAUAGAUAUUUUGUUGUGUUAGAAAUUUUUUUGCGAAAAUGGAUCACAUAACAGCAAUCAAUCUACUCCACCUCCAUUAACCGCAAGAAAAUUAACUGGCCAGGAGAUUCAUCGGCAAGUUCAAUCACACAAACAAAUGCCGUGAGAUAGAGAAGAGAAAUACCUGGUGCCGGCCGUAUCCUUCCACGCAAUCCUAGGAAAAACCUAAAACUGCGCGAAUAGGAAAGAACCGAAAAAAGGAAAACCGAAAGCCGAGGACACGGCGAAGAAAGAAAGAAGAGGAGGCAGAAGUUCCGGCGACUUUGGCUGAUGGCUGGACGGUGACUGGCGUGAAAAUGAGGAAUCGGACGGCGGGUAGCAGCGGUAGGGAUUGGCAGUUGAAAGACAGACGACUACUGUGUG
rnacentral:lncRNA from 1 species